UUCUCAUUGCCUCUUUCUU
rnacentral:sRNA from 1 species